rnacentral:misc_RNA from 1 species
AUAACGGCCAUUAUUUAAAACCAUAAUCCAAAGGCCCUAGCGUCAGCUCCAUCCAAAUUGGGUUUUACCCAAAUCAUCUUCCAUCAUCCCAAUGUCUGAACCACACUAGAGCUUCCUACCACUACCAAAGUCUUUUCCAAAGUCUACAAUCCCAUCUGAUGCCCCAAAGGUCAAAACCUAAUGGGUCGGGUUUGGACCUGAAAUAGUUUUGAGAGUUUGUUUCUCUUCCUUUUGUUUCUCUUUCUUCUUGUUCUACAAUAGUUUGAUAUUAGAGGUUGUCAAUAUCACCAAGGAGCGCAAUUUUUGUGAAAUUGAAUGAUAUAUUUGUCAUUUAGAAUUAGACCACAGUUACCAGAUUCG